rnacentral:rRNA from 1 species
GAGUUUGAUCCUGGCUCAGGACGAACGCUGGCGGCGCGCCUAACACAUGCAAGUCGAACGAGCGAGAGAGAGCUUGCUUUCUCGAGCGAGUGGCGAACGGGUGAGUAACGCGUGAGGAACCUGCCUCAAAGAGGGGGACAACAGUUGGAAACGACUGCUAAUACCGCAUAAGCCCACGACCCGGCAUCGGGUUGAGGGAAAAGGAGCAAUCCACUUUGAGAUGGCCUCGCGUCCGAUUAGCUAGUUGGUGAGGUAACGGCCCACCAAGGCAACGAUCGGUAGCCGGACUGAGAGGUUGAACGGCCACAUUGGGACUGAGACACGGCCCAGACUCCUACGGGAGGCAGCAGUGGGGAAUAUUGCACAAUGGGGGAAACCCUGAUGCAGCGACGCCGCGUGGAGGAAGAAGGUCUUCGGAUUGUAAACUCCUGUCGUUAGGGACGAUAAUGACGGUACCUAACAAGAAAGCACCGGCUAACUACGUGCCAGCAGCCGCGGUAAUUC